rnacentral:rRNA from 1 species
UACAGAGGUCUCGAGCGUUAGGCGGAAUCACUGGGCUUAAAGCGUGUGUAGGCGGAUCGUUAAGUGCCUUGUGAAAUCCCACGGCUCAACCGUGGAACUGCUUGGCAUACUGACGGUCUUGAGCAACCUAGGGGCGAGCGGAACAAAUGGUGGAGCGGUGAAAUGCGUAGAUAUCAUUUGGAACGCCAAUGGUGAAAACAGCUCGCUGGGGGUUUGCUGACGCUGAGACACGAAAAGCCAGGGG